AGAGUUUGAUCAUGGCUCAGAUUGAACGCUGGCGGCGUGCCUAACACAUGCAAGUCGAGCGGUAACAGGCGUAGCAAUACGUGCUGACGAGCGGCGAACGGGUGAGUAAUGCUUCGGAAUCUACCCAGUAGUGGGGAAUAACCAAUCGAAAGGUUGGCUAAUACCGCAUACGUCCUACGGGAGAAAGCGGGGGAUCGCAAGACCUCGCGCCAUUGGAUGAGCCGAAGCCGGAUUAGCUAGUUGGUAGGGUAACGGCCUACCAAGGCGACGAUCCGUAGCUGGUCUGAGAGGACGACCAGCCACACUGGGACUGAGACACGGCCCAGACUCCUACGGGAGGCAGCAGUGGGGAAUAUUGGACAAUGGGGGAAACCCUGAUCCAGCGACGCCGCGUGUGUGAAGAAGGCCUGCGGGUUGUAAAGCACUUUUAGUGGGGAUGAAAAGUGCAGAGCUAACACCUCUGCAUCUUGACCUAACCCACAGAAAAAGCACCGGCUAACUCUGUGCCAGCAGCCGCGGUAAUACAGAGGGUGCGAGCGUUAAUCGGAAUUACUGGGCGUAAAGCGUGCGUAGACGGUAAUGUAAGUCGGGUGUGAAAGCCCCGGGCUCAACCUGGGAAUUGCAUUCGAGACUGCAUUGCUUGGGUGCGGAAGAGGGAAGCGGAAUUUCCGGUGUAGCGGUGAAAUGCGUAGAUAUCGGAAGGAACACCAGUGGCGAAAGCGGCUUCCUGGUCCGACACCGACGUUCAGGCACGAAAGCGUGGGGAGCAAACAGGAUUAGAUACCCCCGUAGUCC
rnacentral:rRNA from 1 species